CACGAAUCCCAAACUUGCCGCUCCGCGGGGCGGGGAGGGCGGCGGGAGCCCCCCCGGCGGCCGCCGAGGGCCGGAGCCCAUUGUGUGCGCCCCGCUGCCCGCCGCGGGGGGACGCGGCGGCGCCGGGCUGCCCUCACGGCCGCCAACGGCCGGGCCUUGUCCGCCCGGCCCUUCCUGCCGCCCGGCCGGGCCCGGGCCGGGCCGAGGCGAGGCGGAGGGGCCCCGGUGCCCGCGGGCAGCCCGGAAGGGCGGCAGGGAGAAGAGGAGCGGCGAGUUUCGGCCCCCGAGCCGCGGCUCCCCCCGCCCCGGCACCUCGCCCCAAACUUUCCGAGCCAGCCUACCUGGGGGCGGGGGUCCCGCCGGCUCCUUCCCCUCAGCGCCGCUGGCCGCCCAGCGGCCGCCCGCACCACGCCAUCGCCGGCCGCCGCCGCCCCGAGCUCCCGGCUCCUCACUCCACCUUCCGGCCCUCUCCCGCCGCCCAGCGCCCUCCUCCUCCGCGCUGUGUGCCGGGCCCGCCCGCGCGCUCUCACACAAAGGAGAGGGAGCGGCGGGCGCGCCCCCGCUCCUCUCGGCGCGUGUGGGGGGGAGAGGGGCCGGGGGGCGCGCCCGGCCCUGCCCUGCCGCUCCGCUCCGCACCGCGCCGCGCCGGCCUCGGGGUGCCGCCGGGGCUGCUCGGGCACGCGCGGGGCUGCGGCGGCCCCGGCUCGUGAGGGCGAGUCCUGGCAGCCGGGGCGGCGGGCGCUGCGAGGCGGAAGCGAAGGGAAGGAAUGCCAACGGCUCCGGGAUUGCCGCCCGCCCUCCCAGCRGCCGCGCUACGUGAGCCCGUCCCGAGGCCCUCAGGGCUCCGCGGGCACCUGCCGGCGGUACCGGGCGGGGAGGUGUGCCCGGCCCCCCGCAGCAGCUUCCGAGGGCUCUGGGAAGGAUGGGUGCCUGUGGUCGGUAGCCUCAGGCGGCACUAGCACAGGAUCAUUGGGGUUGGAGAAGACCUCCAAGAUCAUCUGGUGCAACCAUCGCUCUACCGCCAAUGUCACCCACUAA
rnacentral:lncRNA from 1 species